GAGCGGCGAACGGGUGAGUAACACGUGAGUAACCUGCCCUGGACUUUGGGAUAACCCUCGGAAACGGGGGCUAAUACCGAAUACGACACANUUUUGCAUGAGGUNUGUGUGGAAAGUUUUUCGGUCUGGGAUGGGCUCGCGGCCUAUCAGCUUGUUGGUGGGGUGAUGGCCUACCAAGGCGACGACGGGUAGCCGGCCUGAGAGGGCGACCGGCCACACUGGGACUGAGACACGGCCCAGACUCCUACGGGAGGCAGCAGUGGGGAAUAUUGCACAAUGGGCGGAAGCCUGAUGCAGCGACGCCGCGUGAGGGAUGACGGCCUUCGGGUUGUAAACCUCUUUCAGCAGGGACGAAGCGUGAGUGACGGUACCUGCAGAAGAAGCGCCGGCCAACUACGUGCCAGCAGCCGCGGUAAGACGUAGGGCGCGAGCGUUGUCCGGAUUUAUUGGGCGUAAAGAGCUCGUAGGCGGCUUGUCGCGUCGUCCGUGAAAACCUGCAGCUUCAACUGCAGGCUUGCGGGNCGAUACGGGCAGGCUAGAGUUCGGUAGGGGGAGACUGGAAUNCCU
rnacentral:rRNA from 1 species